CCUACGGGGGGCAGCAGUGAGGAAUAUUGGUCAAUGGGCGCGAGACUGAACCAGCCAAGUCGCGUGAGGGAAGACGGUCCUAUGGAUUGUAAACCUCUUUUGUCGGGGAGCAAAAGACGCCACGCGUGGCGGUCCGAGAGUACCCGAAGAAAAAGCAUCGGCUAACUCCGUGCCAGCAGCCGCGGUAAUACGGAGGAUGCGAGCGUUAUCCGGAUUUAUUGGGUUUAAAGGGUGCGCAGGCGGAAGAUCAAGUCAGCGGUAAAAUUGAGAGGCUCAACCUCGUCGCGCCGUUGAAACUGGUAUUCUUGAGUGAGUGAGAAGUAUGCGGAAUGCGUGGUGUAGCGGUGAAAUGCAUAGAUAUCGCGCAGAACUCCGAUUGCGAAGGCAGCAUGCCGGCGCUAAACUGACGCUCAUGCACGAAAGUGUGGGUAUCGAACAGGAUUAGAUACCCUGGUAGUC
rnacentral:rRNA from 1 species